GUCUUUUUGAUUAAUAAUUUAAAGUCUAAUCUGCCCACUGAUAAUAUAUUAAAGGGCUGCAGUAUUUUGACUGUACAAAGGUAGCAUAAUCAUUAGUCUCUUAAUUGGUGACUUGUAUGAAAGAUUUGAUGAAAUAUAUACUGUCUCUAAUUAAUUUAUAAAAUUUAAUUUUUUAGUUAAAAAGCUAAAAUAAAUUUAAAAGACGAGAAGACCCUAUAGAGUUUAAUAUUUAUAUAAAUUGAGAUUUUAUAUAAGAAUUAUAAUUUUAAUAAUAUAUAAAUAUUUUGUUGGGGUGAUAAAAAAAUUAAAAUAACUUUUUUUAUAUUUUUACAUUUAUAAAUGAAUAAAUGAUCCAUAAUUUAUGAUUAUAAGAAAAAAUUACCUUAGGGAUAACAGCGUAAUUUUUUUUUUUAGUUCAAAUAAGAAAAAGAGUUUGCGACCUCGAUGUUGGAUUAAGAUAAAAUUUAAAUGCAAAAGUUUAAAAUUUUUGAUCUG
rnacentral:rRNA from 2 species